UACGUAGGGGGCAAGCGUUGUCCGGAUUUACUGGGCGUAAAGAGCGUGUAGGCGGCCAUGUAGGUCCGGUGUGAAAACUCGAGGCUUAACCUCGAGAUGUCAUCGGAAACCAUUUGGCUAGAGUCCGGAAGAGGAGAGUGGAAUUCCUGGUGUAGCGGUGAAAUGCGCAGAUAUCAGGAAGAACACCAAUGGCGAAGGCAGCUCUCUGGGACGGUACUGACGCUGAGACGCGAAAGCGUGGGGAGCGAACAGG
rnacentral:rRNA from 1 species